AUUGAACGCUGGCGGCAGGCUUAACACAUGCAAGUCGAGCGGAGAUGAGGUGCUUGCACCUUAUCUUAGCGGCGGACGGGUGAGUAAUGCUUAGGAAUCUGCCUAUUAGUGGGGGACAACAUUCCGAAAGGAAUGCUAAUACCGCAUACGUCCUACGGGAGAAAGCAGGGGAUCUUCGGACCUUGCGCUAAUAGAUGAGCCUAAGUCGGAUUAGCUAGUUGGUGGGGUAAAGGCCUACCAAGGCGACGAUCUGUAGCGGGUCUGAGAGGAUGAUCCGCCACACUGGGACUGAGACACGAUCCAGACUCCUACGGGAGGCAGCAGUGGGGAAUAUUGGACAAUGGGCGGAAGCCUGAUCCAGCCAUGCCGCGUGUGUGAAGAAGGCCUUUUGGUUGUAAAGCACUUUAAGCGAGGAGGAGGCUACCUGGAUUAAUACUCUAGGAUAGUGGACGUUACUCGCAGAAUAAGCACCGGCUAACUCUGUGCCAGCAGCCGCGGUAAUAC
rnacentral:rRNA from 1 species